rnacentral:rRNA from 1 species
UACGAAGGAUCCAAGCGUUGUCCGGAUUUACUGGGUUUAAAGGGUGCGUAGGCGGACUUAUAAGUCAGUGGUGAAAGCCUUCAGCUUAACUGAAGAACUGCCAUUGAAACUGUAAGUCUCGAGCUCGGUUGAGGUCAUUGGAAUGUAACAUGUAGCGGUGAAAUGCAUAGAUAUGUUACAGAACACCGAUUGCGAAGGCAGAUGACUAAACCGAAACUGACGCUGAGGCACGAAAGCGUGGGGAUCAAACAGG